UAAGAGGUCCAGCCUGCCCAGUGACUCUAGUUCAACGGCCGCGGUAUCCUGACCGUGCGAAGGUAGCGUAAUCACUUGUCUUUUAAAUUGAGACUAGUAUGAAAGGCACCACGAGAAUUAAACUGUCUCCUUUUUCUAAUCUGUGAAACUGAUCCCCCCGUGAAGAAGCGGGGAUUUUGAUAUAAGACGAGAAGACCCUAUGGAGCUUCAGACAAAUAACAAUGCCCUCCUCUUUUUUUUCUAAAAAAUACCCGAGCAUCUUAAUUAUUUAGUCUUAGGUUGGGGCGACCAUGGAGUAAAAAUCACCCUCCAUGCUGAACAGGACCUCCUUAAAUAAGAGUAACAACUCUAAGAAUCAAUAAAUUGACACAUUUGACCCAAUUACUUGAUCAACGAAACAAGUUACCCUAGG
rnacentral:rRNA from 1 species